rnacentral:lncRNA from 1 species
CUUCUUCUCACUCGUUGUGCGUCAACUAUAAAGACUUUGGUCACAUUUCUUCUAAAUGUCCUAAUCGAACCUUAGUCAUGGAAGAACGAAAGAAUGUAAUAGAGGAGCCGUUAGAAGAUCUAGUCUAUGAACCUAAACUUGAAGAUUUUGAUGACUUGGAUGAUAGUAAGGACACUUUCUUAGGUGGAAUCCAGACUCUUCCCGAGACUUUGGAUACUAUACCCCUUAUCUCCGACAAUUCUCGAUCACAUGUUAUAUGUCAUACCCUUACCCAAGUUAAAGAGCUUGAUGAUGUCACCAGUCACCCUUGGAAAAUCCAGUCGCCUGUGGUUAACACUAAGGCAAAAUUAUCCACCACUGACCAACCUCAAAUUGAUGGUCAAAACAAAAGUGCUAACCAAAAUCCUGACAAUUUAUUACAGUUUCUAGUCCAAAAAAAUCUUGGGAAUUGGGACUUGAUCCCUCCAACUGUUCAAAUUGCAUAUAACGAUCCUGUGAACUGGUCUUUAGGUCUAAAAUCCUUUGAAGUUAUUCUUGGUUGUGAACCUUUGAAACCUCUAGACCUUAUUCCCAUGCAUCCACAUGCUUGUGUGUCUAUGUUAGUUGAGGUAGUUGUAUCACAUUGUCAUAGCUUGCAUAUUGAGAUCAAUAAACAAUUUGAAGCAAGUAAAGCAUUAUAUAAACCUCAAGUUGAUUGGCAUAAACAACACGUUGAAUUUAAUAUUGGGG